AAGAUUUUACCUUUUUUUUUUUUUUUUUAAUUUAAGUGUUUUGAUAAUGAAUAGGUAGAUUUCCUUUUGUAUAAGGAGUUUAGGAAUUGGAAAAAGGUUUGUGCGCUCGAAUCUUUAAGAUCUUGGUAGGUAUAGAUGGCUGAAAAUAGUCUUUAUAAUUUUACUAAGUAGUAAAAUGCUAUCGAUUAGGGUAUAUUAGUUUAGAUUAUUACAGUUAAGCUGUUAGAUUCCAAUAUUAUAUUUUAUUUUUAAUGUAAAGAUUAGUAGUGUAGUGGUGUUAUUACUAUGUUGGAUUUUAUGAUAAUAGGCAAGGUAGUUUGGAACGUAAGGUUUGUAAUGAGUAAAUUUUUAACAAUCUAAAUAUUAGUAGAAGUGUGUUAGAAGUUAGUGAUAUUAGGCUAUUUUGUUAAAUUCAUAGUCUUUACGAAUGUUUAUUAAAAACAUUUCUUAAUUUGUAUUAGGUAGGCCCUGCUCAAUGAUUUUUAAAUAGCCGCAGUAUGUUGACUGUGCUAAGGUAGCGUAAUCAUUAGUCUUUUAAUUAAGGUCUAGUAUGAAGGGGUGAACGAUAAAGUAAAGUAACAAUAUAGUGUGUUGAAGUUGUAGUUUGAAUGAAAAUAUUCAGGUUAGACUAAAGACGGAAAGACCCUGGAAGUUUUAUAAGGAUUUAUUUUAUUGGGGUAAUAGUUGAAAUAAUGGUUUUAAUAGAUUGAAGGAAAUUACUCCAGGGGUAACAGGACAAUUUAGAAAGUUAGUUCUUAUAUAUUUUUAAGAUUGUUACCUCGAUGUUGGAUCAUCUCAUCUUAAGGGGAUUUUAAGUAGAGGUCUGUUCGACCUGAUUGAGUUACGUGAUCUGAGUUUAGAUCGGUGUGAGCCAGAUCGGAUCUUAUCUUGGAAUAAGCUCGAGUGGUACGAGAGGAUGCUUGAGUGUUAAUAAAUUAACAU
rnacentral:rRNA from 1 species